CUACGGGUGGCUGCAGUGGGGAAUAUUGCACAAUGGAGGAAACUCUGAUGCAGCAACGCCGCGUGGAGGAUGACGCUUUUCGGAGCGUAAACUCCUUUUAUAUAGGAAGAAGAUGACGGUACUAUAUGAAUAAGCGCCGGCUAACUCCGUGCCAGCAGCCGCGGUAAUACGGAGGGCGCAAGCGUUACUCGGAAUCACUGGGCGUAAAGAGCGUGUAGGCGGAUUAAAAAGUCAGAAGUGAAAUCCUAUAGCUUAACUAUAGAACUGCUUCUGAAACUCUUAAUCUAGAAUAUGGGAGAGGUAGAUGGAAUUUCUGGUGUAGGGGUAAAAUCCGUAGAGAUCAGAAGGAAUACCGAUUGCGAAGGCGAUCUACUAGAACAUUAUUGACGCUGAGACGCGAAAGCGUGGGGAGCAAACAGGAUUAAAUACCCGCGUAGUC
rnacentral:rRNA from 1 species